UAGUUGGUGAGGUAAGGGCUCACCAAGGCGAAGAUAGGUAGCCGGCCUGAGAGGGUGGACGGCCACAAGGGGACUGAGAUACGGCCCUUACUCCUACGGGAGGCAGCAGUGGGGAAUAUUGGACAAUGGAGGAGACUCUGAUCCAGCAAUUCUGUGUGCACGAAGAAGGUUUUCGGAUUGUAAAGUGCUUUCAGCAGGGAAGAAGAAGGUGACGGUACCUGCAGAAGAAGCGACGGCUAAAUACGUGCCAGCAGCCGCGGUAAUACGUAUGUCGCGAGCGUUAUCCGGAAUUAUUGGGCAUAAAGGGCAUCUAGGCGGCCAAUCAAGUCAGGGGUGAAAACUUACGGCUCAACCGUGAGCCUGCCCUUGAAACUGAGGGGCUGGAGUGCCGGAGAGGUGGGCGGAACUACACGAGUAGAGGUGAAAUUCGUAGAUAUGUGUAGGAAUGCCGAUGAUGAAGAUAGCUCACUGGACGGCAACUGACGCUGAAGUGCGAAAGCGUGGGGAGCAAACAGGAUUAGAUACCCUGGUAGUCCACGCCCUAAACGAUGUACACU
rnacentral:rRNA from 1 species